UUAACUUAUUAUAUGAUACUCAGACGACACUGACGUUCAGGUUUUGGGGUCCUCUGGCAGGCGCUUGCCAGCGUGAGCCGGCAGCGGGGCGAGCCCCGGCGGCCUGCCAAAGCAACAAAGGUAUGUUAUACACGGGUGGGAACUCUGCCCGUGAGGGCGAAUUCGGUAAUGAUCCCUCCGCAGGUUCACCUACGGAGA
rnacentral:misc_RNA from 1 species